rnacentral:rRNA from 1 species
UACAGCGGCGUACGGGUGAGUAACACGUGGGAUGAUCUACCUUCUAGUGGGGGAUAACCCUGGGAAACCGGGGCUAAUACCGCAUAAGCCUGUGAAGGGAAAGCAGCAAUGCGCUGGAAGAGGAGUCCGCGGCCGAUUAGCUAGUUGGUGAGGUAACGGCCCACCAAGGCGACGAUCGGUAGCCGGCCUGAGAGGGCACACGGCCACACUGGCACUGAAACACGGGCCAG